rnacentral:rRNA from 1 species
UACGGGGGGAGCAAGCGUUGUUCGGAUUUACUGGGCGUAAAGGGCGCGUAGGCGGUCGUGACAAGUCACUUGUGAAAUCUCCGGGCUUAACUCGGAACGGUCAAGUGAUACUGUCGGACUAGAGUACAGAAGGGGCAACUGGAAUUCUCGGUGUAGCGGUGAAAUGCGGAGAUAUCGAGAGGAACACCUGCGGCGAAGGCGGGUUGCUGGGCUGGUACUGACGCUGAGGAGCGAAAGCGUGGGUAGCGAACAGG